CCGCGGUCCCAAACACAUGCAAGUCGUACGCGAAGGGGGCAACCCCCGGUAGCGUGGCAGACGGGUGAGUAACACGUGGGUAAUCUGCCCCGAGGUGGGGAAUAACUUUCCGAAAGGAAGGCUAAUACCGCAUGACAUCGCGGAGUCCUCGGACUCUGCGAUCAAAGCUGGCCUCUGUUUACAAGCUAGCGCCACGGGAGGAGCCCGCGCCCCAUUAGCUAGUUGGUGAGGUAACGGCUCACCAAGGCAACGAUGGGUAGCCGGCCUGAGAGGGUGAUCGGCCACACUGGAACUGAGACACGGUCCAGACUCCUACGGGAGGCAGCAGUGAGGAAUAUUGCGCAAUGGGCGAAAGCCUGACGCAGCGACGCCGCGUGGAGGAUGAAGGUCUUCGGAUUGUAAACUCCUGUCGUGCGGGACGAAUGCCUCGGUCGCUAAUAUCGGCCGGGGUUGACGGUACCGCAGGAGGGAAGCCCCGGCUAACUCCGUGCCAGCAGCCGCAGUAAUACGGAGGGGGCCAGCGUUGUUCGGAAUCAUUGUGCGUAAAGGGCGCGUAGGCGCGCGAUCAAGUCGAACGUGAAAUCCCCCGGCUCAACCGGGACUGCGUCCGAUACUGUUCGGCUCGAGUCCCGAGAGGUAGUGGAAUUCCAGUGUAGCGAUGAAAUGCGUAAGAUACUGGCAGGUAACACCGUGGCGUAAGGCGACUGUCUGGACUGUGUCUGACGCUGAGGCGCGAAACCCAGGGGAGUGAACGGGAUUAGAUACCCCGGUAAUCCUGGCCGUAAACGAUGGGUACUAGGUGUUGGGGGUAUCGACCCCUCCAGUGCCGGAGUUAACGCAAUAAGAAGCCCCCCCUCUGGGGAGUACGGCCGCAAGGUUGAAACUCAAAGGAAUUGACGGGGGCCCGCACAAGCGGUGGAGUAUGUGGUUUAAUUCGACGCAACGCGAAGAACCUUACCAGGGCUUGACAUCGCCUGAAGGCCGCAGAGAUGCGGAAGGCCAGCUUCGGUUGGACAGGUAGACAGGUGGUGCAUGGCUGUCGUCAGCUUCGGGUCGUGAGAUGUUGGGUUAAGUCCCGCAACGAGCGCAACCCUUAUCCUUUGUUGCCAGCACGCAAGGUGGGAACUCAAAGGAGACUGCCGCAGACAAUGCGGAGGAAGGCGGGGAUGACGUCAAGUCAUCAUGCCCCUUACGUCCUGGGCUACACACGUACUACAAUGGGCGAAACAGAGGGAUGCGAGACCGCGAGGUUGAGCCAAUCCCACAAAUACGCUCUCAGUUCGGAUCGGAGGCUGCAACUCGCCUCCGUGAAGUCGGAAUCGCUAGUAAUCGCAGAUCAGCAUGCUGCGGUGAAUACGUUCCCGGGCCUUGUACACACCGCCCGUCACACCACGAGAGUCUGCAACACCCGAAGCCGGUGAGGUAACCGCAAGGAGCCAGCCUUCGAAGGGUGGGGCCU
rnacentral:rRNA from 1 species